AAGCCGCCCGCGCGGCGCGGCUCCAUCAGCAAGAUCAGCCAGAAGACGCUGGAGGAGCGCCUGGAUUUCACGCGCAAGCCGGUGCAUUCCUUUCACGAGGCGCUGCUCCGCCUCCUCCCGCCCACGGCGCGGCAGAAGACGCCGCGGCUCAUCAGGUCGGCGCCGUCGUCCGAGGUGAAAUCGCUGGGGCAGCGCGAGUGCCACUGCGACCAGCGAUCGCACAAGCGCAGGGCGGGUAGCGACGACAAAGUGGUGAGGUGCAUUUGCGCCGACGAGGAGGGCAGCGGCGAGGACAGGAAGCCAUCCUCCUGCGCUGCGAAUUUCCGGUCCUCGGCAGUGUACUGUGAGGUGCACACACUUGCUUUUGGGUGAAACUCGCCGAGCUUCUCAAGGAGCGGGAGAGCGAGCCUGGAAUUCCGGAUGUGCACAGAACUGCUGUAUGCUGGGAGAUUUUCAACGAGAUAUGCAAACUAAGCAUGCCCUUUUCUCGAGUUCUGUCUCAUAUAAAAGACGAGCUUCAGCAUGCCAUCUUCAGCCAUUAUGUCGUCCCACCCGGUACUACACCGACGUUUGAACAGCUGCCGUACUUUGAGAUCGUUAAUAGACUGCAAGGAAAGAACAAGGAGUUGGAGGAGCAACAUCAGAAAUGGAGAGAAGAGCUCCAAGCAAGGCAGGCCGACAUUCUCCGUAUUGAAGAGCACAUACAGGUUUUGAGGGACCAGAUAAAGGCAGCAGAAGCUGUUAGCAAUGACUUGCAAACUAAGCUAAACACCACGAUAAGCCUGUUGGAAGCCGCGAAAUCGAAGGUGAAAAUAUUGCAUGGUAAGUCGAGGGUUUUGAAGAAAGACUUGAAGAAAGCAAGAGUGCUGGUUCUGGAAGCUCGGGAGAUAGCAUACGAGAAGGAUGUCGAGAAGCAAAAGCACGAGAAGCUACGAGCUCAGUACUCCCAACUGGUCCACGAGUUGCAACACACGCAGUCCUUCCUUGAAUCUGCACGUGUGGAAGCGUCUGACAGCGUGCCGAAGACUGUAUAUUGCGCAGCAAAGGUUGAAAUGCUAGAAUUGGAAGGCAAGCUUUCGGAGACGCAAGCUGAGAUCGACGAGAUUGCCAACAAAGUUAAUCAAAUGACUCCGAGACCGCAGUGGGGGCAGCUUUCAGGGAAAACAACAACGUGGCGAGCAACCACCGCAGAGCAAGUGUCCGCCAUUUGCAGGGAGAAUGCCCUGCUGUCCGAUCAACUUUCAUGCCUAGAGCUCGAGUGGACUGCAGCACAAGUUGCUCUCUCGGAGCUUACGCUGAAGCUGGGACCGGUCGACGCCGAGAAACCGGAAAAGAAAAAGGAUAAGAAGGGUGGAAAGAAAGACAAGAAGAAGAAGAAGAAGUGAAGCUGUUCUGGUUUCCUCUCGGGGUGGCAAACAAAUUCGGGUUCCGCUAGCAAUCUUCUGCCACAGUUUCCAACAAGACAAAAACGCGGAGACCUCAGCAGCGCAGUGAAUCGAGAGGAAAGGGCCACCUCAAUUAUUGCGUGCGGAUUGGAUUCAUCUCGUAGUAACGUCAGAAUCUUCAAUGUGGGAGAGAACGAUCGGUUUUGUCGCUCUAAGAACACGUCCUGUACACUUGACGGCACGCUACUACUCUACGGCGACGUCAUGCGAUGAAAUACUGAAUCGGAGUGGUCUCCUUCCAUGAACAAUGCUCCUGGGAAAGAGGAGGAAGACAACACUCGUGACAAGACGCAUGAAGCAACGAGAGUGAUCAACGCCAGCGAAGUCGAUCACACACGACUUGGACUCGACGAGCAGUCCAUGAUCGACAGCCAGACAGGCUUUGAUUCAAACGAAGAGAAAGCGACGAGACAAUCGUUACCAGAGAAGGAGACGAUGAAGAGAUCAUCGCUCCAAUCAUACAGAUCAUCGGUUCCUCCAUCGAUCAUCGCUGGUACGUUUGCUAUUGAGCUAUGGUACGACCAGCGAGGGGCCAAAGCAGGGGACCACGAGAGAGUUAAAAGUCAAGGAAUGGCAAGCGCUUCUUCGAUCUUCGUACCAAGUGCCCGCGUACGUUAUUCGAGCCCGCUUUUGUUUUUGCCCGCCACGCUCGAGACGCAUCGCAUACAAGUAUUUUAACCCGUGGAAGUGUCACAAACCUUGGGACCCAUGGGUUUUGCUUUGGUUUGAUUUUUUCCAAUCCACCUUUGGCUUUUUCUCA